AGCAGCCGCGGUAAUUCCAGCUCCAAUAGCGUAUAUUAAAGUUGUUGCAGUUAAAAAAGCUCGUAGUUGAAUUUCGGGAUCAGUACGUCGGUCGUGCCUCUGGUAUGUACUGGUGUUACUGGUUCCUCCCUUCUGAAGAACUGUCAUGUCAUUUAUUUGGUGUGGCGGGGAAUCAGGACUGUUACUUUGAAAAAAUUAGAGUGUUUAAAGCAGGCUCGCGCUUGAAUACAUUAGCAUGGAAUAAUGAAAUAGGACGUUUGAUCCUAUUUUGUUGGUUUCUAGGAUUGACGUAAUGAUUAAUAGGGAUAGUUGGGGGCAUUAGUAUUCAAUUGUCAGAGGUGAAAUUCUUGGAUUUAUUGAAGACUAACUACUGCGAAAGCAUUUGCCAAGG
rnacentral:rRNA from 1 species